AGUAUGAAUGAUGCGGAGAAGUCGGGAGGGGGGAUGUGCAAGGUGCAGUGUCCACGUAGCAUUUAUAUAGAGUGGGUUGGCGAGAUCCGGGGAAAGCAUGUCGCAAGUCGUGUUGUCGGGAAGCGAAGACUCGUCGCACGCAAGACGCUCGAGGAUCGAGCUCAGCUAGUGCGUCGCAGGAACCAGGCUUUAGCGGGCCCUCGUUCUCGAGCGCCCCGCUCCCGGCCGGCGGGAGGUGGCCACGAAGACGUGCACGACCCAGUUGCUGUCCCGGGGAGGGCACAGAGCAGCGGCCGUUACAGAGAGCAAGCUCCGGCCACAACUACCGGGGCCAGCCUGGCACCGCCGGCAGACGAGGAUGUCGCUGGGCGUGGCAAACUGUACAGCACAGAAAUUUACACGACCAAAAAAUGAAAGCGCCCUUAAUCUCAUAUUCAUAUAUUUAGCAGCAUAAGUAUUGUUAACAUAAAAGAGUCAGUGGCGGAUGUGAGGGGUGGGGGGUGGGGGGGAGGGGAAAUGCAGCUCCCCCUAGAGUUAUGGAAAAACUACGAGAUCUCAGUGAAGGCACUACGUUAUUCUGAAUGAUGCUAGGAGAGCUGUUACAACAUUUGGAAUCACAAUCACAAAGGACAAAGGCAAUGAUGCAUGUUGAGAAUCAUAGUGUAAAUGUGCUAACCCUUUGCUGACCUAAGUUUUUUUGAAUACAAAAUGUUUUGACGUGACGUCUAAUAAAUAGAUGAGCGCCGGCUGCACGCAUGAAAAAGUGUCCCAUUACGCACAUUGUCCCGUUACACUCAUUGUACGCUUGCGCCGCAUCUAUCUCUCUUCCACUCGAUUGGAACAACCAUCAAUUUGACUUUUUCGAGGCACAUUAAACUUGAAACACUUCCAUUCGUUUCCUACUUUUCCUAUCAUCAUCCUAUUCUAAACAGAACAACACAGAUUGGAAUAAUUUAAAUAGCAAACAUGUAAAUGUUAUAGUUAAAAUAAUCUCUUCGUUAAAGUAAUAAACAUAGUUGAAUUAAUGAGAGCAAAUAAAAGUAAAUUUAUCACUUAAAUUGUAGAUUUCAUUUCACUCCUUUGUAUCCAUACAAAAUAGUGAUAAUUCAAUAAAAAUUAUUCAAUUUUAUUCAUAAAAGUAUGCAAUCAUUUCAUCAAUGUUUUGUUAUGACGUCACGUUAAACUUUCGUCCGUAAACCGACUUUACAGACAACCAAUUUUUUAUUUUAAUUCCAAAUCCUCUCCCGAAAAUAAAUUCCUGAAUCUGCCACUGAUAAUAUUUUUUUAGUUUAAAUAUGUUAGGUUUAAGUAAUACAUCAAUUCUGUUCUCCUUUGCAGUGCUAAAGAUAUUUCAAUGUAUGCAGUUGAGUGGAGAUGUUUAGAAUAGAAGUGAUUCAAAAUGUUCACAACUGUAGUUACCAAAAAAUUAUGAGAAGCAUGGAACUUUAAUUAAUUGUGUAACUUAACAAGUAAACUAAUACUACACGGUUGUCAGAAAUGUAUAUGUAUGUAGUACGUUGAAAUGAAAACAAACAAUAAAACAUUGAGAGCAGCUAAAA